rnacentral:rRNA from 1 species
AUUGAACGCUGGCGGCAGGCCUAACACAUGCAAGUCGAGCGAGCGGCGGACGGGUGAGUAAUGUAUGGGGACUGCCCGAUAGAGGGGGAUAACUACUGGAAACGGUGGCUAAUACCGCAUACUAUCGGAUAACCCAUAUGGGAUUAGCUAGUAGGUGGGGUAAAGGCUCACCUAGGAGACGAUCUCUAGCUGGUCUGAGAGGAUGAUCAGCGACACUGGGGCGGAGAGUGGGUCCAGACUAGUACGGAGGCACCAGUUGGGAAUAUUGGAAAAUGGGCUGAAGCCGGAUGCAGCGAUGCGGCGUGUAGGAAGAAGGCCUUAGGGUGGUAAAGUGCUUGCAGCGGGGAGGCGUUACCCGCAGAAGAAGCACCGGCUAACUCCGUGCCAGCCGCCGCGGUAAUUC